GUGGCGGCCCAGGAGGCUUGCCUUGAGGCUGAACUCCGCCACGAAUUUGCCCCCUCGCCAGGAUGGAGGGUCUCUCAGGGAGACGAAACCCAGCUGGAGAAAUCACGGCCUGGGAGCCCUUGGCCCCACUCGCAAGACAACCCGCCCGGCGCGAAGGAUGCGUCCCCCGAACCCCGCGCAGGGAAACUGGAAGGCAGGCAGCCUCUUGAGCUCCAACAGAGUGUAAUCUCAAAGAAGAAAAAAAAUCUUUAAAAUGAAAAGGGGGGAUAAAAAACUAAAUUUGAACAAAACUAAAUUACAAGCCCACAGGUCCCUGCGCCGCAAACGAGGUGGGGGAGGAGGGGGCGGAACGGCCGAGGCUCUGAGAGUGGGGGAUGCGGCGAGAAAUCCGUCCCCUGCAGAGUCGGUGCCUUCGGGGGCUCCACAGCCGCACGCUCCGACUUGCAAGGUCUGCAAGACAGAACUGGAAAGAACUCCUCCCAUCACUCAUGGGAGAAAAUGAAGCUCUCUACUGGCCUCUAUCAGAGAAGCUAAAAAUUUCCCUCUUUUCUGCAAGUGUCCCAAACCCCAUGACUCUUAUUUCCAGGCUUUUUACAUCUAUUGAAUCUGGAUGGUGGAGGUCCUAGAGUACUCUGCUACUGUGCAUCUUUUCCCAACUCCAAGUUCAGUGACUUCCAGUUGACAGCUUGAAAGUGGACGUGGUGGCAAUAUUUACACCACAGAGGGAUCCUGUUUGGAAGGUCAGGGACAAUGACAACUGAGAAGAAAAGGCAGAACUGGAGAAGAGUGAGUGAAUGCUGGGAGCAUCCAGAGUCCUUCACCUUGAAUGAGACGACACGCUUCUGUACUGAGUUUAUCAAUCAGUUAUGGCCCAGGACUUAGGGUUAAUAUUUGGAACACAUACACUUGGGAAUUCUUCCUAAUGACAUGAAACUCUUAUUAGUCCUUACAAGAACUUACCUUCCCAAAUCCUCUUAUACCGUGAUGAGAGAACAGAGCCUAUUGUCAGCAAUGUCUGCUGGAGUACCUUUUGUCUCAUAGCUUGUAAUCACUUCCAGACCGGGGUAUAUUUAUGAUUUACAUAAUGUUACAGAAGAAGAGGUCUUAAAGGUUUUUUCCUCUAAAUCUUUCUGAAUUAUUAUUUUAGACUCAUUGCCAGGUUUUUUUUUUUUCUUAUAAGGAGGAAGUUGAUGAACUUUUAAACAUGUCAUUACAUGCUCCGAAAUAGCAACUCUUUGUUCUUGCAGAGUUUCUUGUGGAAAUUUUAGGACUGUGUGUGUGUAAGUGAGUGAGUGUGUGUGUGUGUGUGUGUGUAUUUAGAAACAGGUAGAAAAGGAAAUGGGUGAAAAGGAACACUUGAGGUUCACUGAUAAAAUUAAACACAUAUUGUGCGUUUCUGUUAGAAGAAAAGUUGGCAGAUUUGGGAGAAUCUUACAGAACAUUUGGAGUAGGUUUUGGAAGGGCAGCUCUAUGUUCACUUUUCAUCAUGUUUCAGUAAUUAGGGGUGGGAGCUGAAGGGUUAAGCCCUAAAGCAAGAAAAUAUCUCUAGUUCAGAAAACAAAGGGAAACUUGCAUAUUUCUGAAGAUGACAUUGGAUCAGCCUGUGGAUUUCAAGCAAUUAUGCGAUAUUAUGAUCCCCACUGAGCAUGCAUUAGUUGGAAUACUGUUCUUUCUAUUUCUCCAUAUCCCGGGGUUGUACACUGAAAGAGCCCUGUUCAACUUCGCAUGUCAGAAUUUUGAAGGAAAAAUUAUAGUAAAAUAUGUUUAAAACAGUGGGGCCUUAUGUGAGUGAACACAACAUUUUCCAAGGCUUUCAAAAAUCCUUCUGUUAAAAAUAUGGUUUUUAUUUUGUUUCUUAUAAAUUUUUUUU